GCGUAGCGCAGCCUGGUAGCGCACUUGCAUGGGGUGCAAGGGGUCGCGAGUUCGAAUCCCGCC
rnacentral:tRNA from 1 species